ensembl:lncRNA
AUACUACACUAAUAAUGAUUCUUGUUUUCUAUGAGAAAAAAAUAAGAGAGCAGACAACUGAGCCAGUUAUGGCCUUUAUUAGGAUCACCCAUGAUUAGCUAGAGUUUAAAAUGGGUGUGAAGUGUCAUUCAAUUACAAAUGCCAGAGCAGGCAGGGAUCACUGCAAAUAUCAGGAACACUGUUCUGAAUGAGUGUAAUGAGGCACUCUGAACUCUGAGCUAUUAUUAUGGACAGGACAAUCUGACUAAUUUUAUGACUAUAUUUAAUAAAACAGUGGAGUUUUGAAAAACACCGGGAGCAAAAGGUUACCUUCUCCACAGAAACAUGUAAACAGACUGAAAGGUCAUCAAACAGAGCCCCUUGCCGCAGCACCCAUCUCUAGCAGAGGAGGAAUUUAAAAAAGAAAGGUUGUGAGGAAAAGUGGCUGGCCCUUUCAAAAGCACAGAACAGGACAAGAAGGUUUUUCAGACCCAGUCUUUAUUCAUCUUCUCACUGAAAAGAGUGACCAGGACAUUCUUCCAAAAUUCACCAUUUGUGUUCUGCAGAAGCAAGUCUUACAGAUUCAGAAGAACAUGAAGGAAACAAAGUAAAUGAUGACAGAAUUUUCAUUUUUGGUUGAACUGUCCCUUUAAGGGUAAAAUGUGAGCAGCAUGAACAUUUUUUUUAAAGCAUCUACAGUACUGUCCACUGAAACUCUUAAGAUACAUUUGGUUUGAGCAAUUGUGCUGUGUCAAUAUUUGCCAUUGUGAUUACUCAUGCAAAAGUGUGUUAUGCUUUAUGUAAGAUUAAUACUAAAAUCAAUCACUCACAGAGCACUUUAUGUGAACCAGUCCAUUUAGUGAGAGAGGGGGAGAAAAAAAAGAGAGAGGGAGAGAAGUGAGUAAAUAUAUAAAUAAAAAAGCACCUCUUUUAAUUGAUGAACCUGACCUGGUUUGCCUUGAUGCCAAUUUUGAUUUGAUCUAUAAAAAUAUGCUUGAGUGACAUUAUGUGACAGCAUCUUAAUCACUGUG